GACGAACGCUGGCGGCGUGCUUAACACAUGCAAGUCGAACGGAAAGGCCCUGCUUUUGUGGGGUGCUCGAGUGGCGAACGGGUGAGUAACACGUGAGUAACCUUCCCUUUACUUUGGGAUAACUUCAGGAAACUGGGGCUAAUACCGGAUAGGAGCUCCUGCUGCAUGGUGGGGUUUGGAAAGUUUCGGCGGUUGGGGAUGGACUCGCGGCUUAUCAGCUUGUUGGUGGGGUAGUGGCUUACCAAGGCUUUGACGGGUAGCCGGCCUGAGAGGGUGACCGGCCACAUUGGGACUGAGAUACGGCCCAGACUCCUACGGGAGGCAGCAGUGGGGAAUAUUGCACAAUGGGCGGAAGCCUGAUGCAGCAACGCCGCGUGCGGGAUGACGGCCUUCGGGUUGUAAACCGCUGUCGCCUGUGACGAAGCGUGAGUGACGGUAAUGGGUAAAGAAGCACCGGCUAACUACGUG
rnacentral:rRNA from 1 species